rnacentral:lncRNA from 1 species
ACAUUGAAAUUAGCUUAAUUUAACAUUAGGGUUACAAAUACACAUAGAAGCCUUUUUUGUCUCUAAUCUACAGCUCUCUGUAAUAUCAUUAUUUAUCCUAUAGGUGGUCGCUAUGGAUGAGGAAUCAGGUGAGGUUGCUAAAGCCUCAGUCGACAUAGAGCUGCUACAAAGAGGCCAGCCAGUUCCACGGACACCUUUCGGAGAAGAGCGGUUGUUCAGGGACAUGGAUGUGAGGAUGGCUGGCGGUAUCAUGGGUGGGAUGCUGCUGCUGUUAGUGGCCAUCCUGUUCCUGCUGAUCCGAUGGGCCAAGAGGAGACGGAGACGGGACCCGGCCAGACGAGGGGCUGUCAUCCUGGGGAAGCACCCCAAUGUGGUAAGGGCUGCUCCAUGUACACAUAACACACACUGUAUCCACACACAUGACUCUCACACACACACAGGGGCAACUAAAGCACACACACAAGUGAAAGAAAUAUACUGAUCCAGGUGUUGAAAUAUUGAAUGACCAUUUGCUGGCCAGUUGCGACUGAAGGAAUGGCCAGGAAUGGCAAAGCCACAUAAAUGAGUAUUACAGUCAAACACAAUGAAGCAACUAAGGAUAGUUGGCUUAUACAACCCUAAUCUGAGCUAAAUGUGUCAUUACCCAGGUUUUCAUCCAAACUUUUUAUGCAAGUUUCUUUUUUAAAGCUGUUGGUGUACUUUCCAAAUUUCGACAAAACCAAAUACGCUACAUAAAGUGGGAUCUUUUUGUGUCGUCCAAUUAAUUUUCUGAGAAAUACCAGAGGAAACAACUUUAUGGGCAAAUAUUGAUACAAUAACCAUGAUAUUGAAGUAAACUUGGAGUCACGCGAUGAUAUACUGUGUGGUCCUCCCACUACGACUCGGGAAGCUAUGCAGUUUGUUAGACUACUGAUGAAAUGAAUGAUGAUGAACUUCACAGCGUGGUGAAAGUACACGGUGAUCUUAAUGCUCCUCUCCAAUAAAUAUCAAAGGGUCUGAUUCUGGUGACAUGAUGAUCGAUGCCUCACUUCUUAUCUAUAAUAAUCUCAUCACGUAGACGAGCCUACCCGCACUG